rnacentral:misc_RNA from 1 species
ACGGAUUCGUGCUGUACGUCUUCGACUCUCGCCCUCCUUCCCAUCCGAUUAAAUUCAUUUCAUUGAUCAUUCUAUUAUCGUCAUCGUCAUCAGCGAUAUUCUACUCUCUAAAACUACUCCAUUUUCUCUCACUGAAGAAAAAGAGCGAGAGAAGAGAAGCUUUAUUUCGAGAAUCAUCUGCACGUAGCUAACGGAGCAAUGGUGUCUCAACGUCAUGGUGGUGGUGCUGUUGUUGGAUUCGUUGGCUUGGACGAGCUUAGCUUGGAGAUGGCAGCUGCACUUGUUCGGUCUGGUUACAAGGUCCAGGCUUUUGAGAUAGAAGGAGCUCUGGUGGAUGAGUUUUCAAAUCUGGGGGGAGUUAAAUGUGCCAGCCCACAUGAGGUUGGGAAAGAUGUUGUAGCUUUGGUUAUCUUAAUAUCUCAUGUUGAUCAAAUCAAUGAUGUAAUAUUUGGUCAACAGGGUGCUUUGAAAGGGUUGCAGAAAGGGGCAGUCAUCAUCCUACGCUCAACUAUUUUGCCAUCACACAUACAAACUCUAGAGAAACGUCUCAGGGAAGAUGGUGUGCCAGCUUAUUUAGUAGAUGCACAUGUCUCCAGGGGAAUGUCUGAGGUUUUAGAUGGAAGAAUCAUGAUUAGUUCCUCAGGGACAUCUGAAGCCAUUGCAAGGGCGCGUCCUAUUCUCUCUGUAAUGUGUGAAAAGCUGUACACUUUUGAGGGUGAAGUUGGUGCUGGAAGUAAAAUUAAAAUGGUCAAUGAGCUGCUUGAGGGCAUUCAUCUUGUCGCUUCAGUGGAGGCUAUUUCUCUUGGUUCUCAAGCUGCAACUAAUCCAUGGAUGGUCUAUGACAUAAUAUCCAAUGCUGCUGGAAAUUCAUGGGUUUUCAAGAAUCAUAUACCUCAGUUGUUGAGAGGGGAUGCCAAGCCCCAUUCCCUUAAUAUUUUGGUCCAGAAAUUGGGUGUCAUUUUGGAUACGGCCAAAUCACUGACAUUUCCUCUUCCACUUUUGGCUGCUGCUCAUCAACAGCUUAUUGCUGGGUCUACAUAUUCUGCUGGAGAUGAUGACAAUGUCACAUUGCUCCAGGUUUGGGAAAAAGUACUUAGAGUAAAUAUUCAAGAAGCAGCCAAUGCAGAGUCCUACAGCCCUGAACAAUUGGCAUUCCAAAUUACUUCUAAAUCUGCUGCUGUGAAGCGGAUUGGUUUCAUUGGUCUUGGAGCAAUGGGAUUUGGCAUGGCAACGCACCUGCUGAAAUCAAAUUUCUGUGUUAUUGGUUAUGAUGUAUAUAAACCGACACUAACUCGAUUUGCCAAUGCUGGUGGCUUGAUUGGAAACACUCCAGCAGAAAUAUCCAAAGAUGUUGAUGUGCUUGUACUCAUGGUUACAAAUGAAGCUCAAGCUGAGAGUGUUUUGUUUGGACAUCAUGGUGCAGUUUCAGCACUUCCGUCAGGAUCAUCCAUCAUCCUUUCAUCUACUGUAUCUCCAGGAUUUGUGAUCCAACUAGAUCGGCGACUGCAAAAUGAAGGCAAAGAUUUGAAGCUGGUGGAUGCUCCUGUUUCUGGUGGUGUCAAGAGGGCCUCAGAUGGAACACUUACGAUAAUGGCUUCUGGUGCUGACGAAGCUCUUAUGCAUGCUGGUUCAGUCCUUUCAGCAUUAAGUGAGAGGCUCUAUGUCAUCAAGGGAGGUUGUGGAGCUGGAAGUGUUGUAAAGAUGGUUAAUCAGUUGCUUGCUGGAGUUCAUAUAGCUUCAGCAGCUGAGGCAAUGGCAUUUGGAGCCCGAUUAGGUCUCAACACAAGGAUGCUGUUUAAUUUCAUUGCACAUAGUGGAGGAACAUCAUGGAUGUUUGAGAAUCGUGUUCCACACAUGCUGGAUAAUGACUAUACCCCAUAUUCGGCUCUCGAUAUCUUUGUGAAAGAUCUGGGCAUUGUUUCUCAUGAAUGCUCAUCUCGUAAAGUGCCACUUCAUGUUUCAACUGUUGCACACCAACUGUUCAUGGCAGGCUCUGCUGCUGGCUGGGGUCGUCAAGAUGAUGCUGGUGUAGUCAAGUAUUAUGAGACUCUCACAGGUGUUAGAGUUGAAGGAAAACUCCCCAUUCUUAAGAAAGAAACUGUUUUGAAAUGUCUUCCAGCUGAGUGGCCUGUGGAUCCCAUUGAUGAUAUACAUAGACUGAAUCAGAGCAAUUCAAAAGUAUUGGUUGUUCUCGAUGAUGAUCCAACUGGAACUCAAACUGUUCAUGAUAUUGAAGUAUUAACAGAAUGGAGUGUUGAGUCACUAGUUGAGAAGUUCAAGAAAAAGCCAACAUGUUUUUUCAUUCUGACUAACUCCAGGUCAUUGAGUUCUGAGAAGGCCAGUGCACUGAUAAAAGAUAUCUGCAGAAACCUAAGUAACGCAGCUAAAUCAGUUGAGGAUGUUGACUAUACUGUAGUUUUGAGAGGUGAUUCAACAUUAAGAGGUCAUUUUCCAGAGGAAGCGGAUGCAGCUGUUUCUAUACUUGGUGAGAUGGACGCAUGGAUCAUUUGCCCUUUUUUCCUUCAAGGAGGCCGUUAUACUAUUGAAGAUGUACACUAUGUUGCAGAUUCUGAUCGGCUUGUCCCUGCUGGUGACACAGAGUUUGCUAAAGAUGCUGCUUUUGGCUUUAAAUCAUCCAAUCUUCGAGAGUGGGUGGAGGAGAAAACUAAAGGCCGAAUUACAGCUAAUAGUGUUACAUCUGUAUCUAUCCAACUUCUAAGGAAAGGUGGACCAAAUGCUGUUUGUGAGCUUCUCUGCGGCUUGCAGAAGGGUUCAACUUGUAUAGUCAAUGCAGCAAGUGAAAGAGACAUGGCUGUAUUUGCAGCUGGAAUGAUCCAGGCAAAAUAUCCUUUUAUUCUUUAUUCUAUUUAAAAACAUAUGUAUAUUCUUUGGCCUUUCUAGAUUGAAUAAUGAAGAAAUGUUUAUAAGUUCUUGCUUAUUAAGCAGGCAGAAUUGAAGGGCAAGUCUUUCUUAUGCCGCACUGCUGCUAGUUUUGUUUCUGCCCGAAUUGGAAUUAUUCCAAAAGCUCCAAUACUUCCCAAGGAUCUGGGAAUAAACAAAUACAAGAAAGGUGGACUCAUUGUUGUGGGAUCAUAUGUUCCAAAAACAACAAAACAGGUUGAAGAAUUAAAAAUACAAUGUGGUGAUAUCUUAAGAACCAUUGAGGUUUCUGUUGAUAAACUUGCCAUGAAGUCUUUAGAACAGAGGGAGGAGGAAAUUAGUAGAGCCGCUGAGAUGGCAGAUUUUUUCCUUGGGACCUGCAAGGACACAUUAAUAAUGACCAGUCGUGAACUGAUCACUGGAAAAUCUCCUUCUGAGAGUUUGGAGAUCAAUUUUAAAGUGAGUUCUGCACUGGUGGAAAUUGUGCGGCGGAUAUCAAUAAGACCUCGAUACAUUAUAGCAAAGGGUGGAAUUACCUCAUCAGACCUUGCUACAAAAGCUCUAGAAGCAAAAUGUGCCAAAAUAGUUGGACAAGCUCUGGCUGGUGUUCCCUUGUGGCUGCUAGGUCCUGAAAGUAGACAUCCAGAAGUUCCUUACAUUGUUUUCCCAGGUAAUGUUGGUGACAGUAAAGCAUUGGCGGAAGUAGUGAAAUCUUGGGCUCGUCCUUCUAGGCUUUUGUCAACAAAAGAGCUUCUUCUUAAUGCAGAAAAGGGUGGAUAUGCCAUUGGUGCAUUCAAUGUUUAUAAUAUGGAAGGAGCUGAGGCUGUUGUUGCUGCAGCAGAGGAAGAAAAUAGUCCUGCCAUUCUACAGAUUCAUCCUAGUGCCUUGAAGCAAGGAGGAAUUCCCUUGGUUGCUGCUUGUGUCUCUGCUGCUGAACAGGCCAAUGUUCCUAUUACUGUUCACUUUGAUCAUGGAGCUUUGAAGCAAGAACUGGUGGAAGCUCUUGACUUGGGAUUUGAUUCAGUGAUGGUAGAUGGUUCACAUCUUCCUUUCAAGGAUAACAUAUCAUACACAAAGUGCAUAUCUGACUUGGCCCAUCCAAAAAAUAUAAUGGUGGAGGCUGAACUAGGGAGAUUGUCAGGAACAGAGGAUGACUUGACUGUUGAAGAUUAUGAAGCAAGGCUUACUGAUGUUAAUCAGGCUGAAGAAUUCAUCGAUGAGACUGGCAUAGACGCUUUGGCAGUGUGCAUUGGAAAUGUACAUGGCAAGUAUCCUGCCAGUGGCCCAAAGCUCAGGCUUGAUUUGCUUCAGGUAUCAUAAUCAGCAUUUGCCAAUGCGUAAAGAUUUGCGUAAUAUUCAUGAGUUCUGUGCAUUAGAUUCCACCUUUUCAAUCACAGACAGCAUGAAUUUUCUAGUAUAUUAAGGACACCAUGCAGCAGUUGUUAUGAAGUAAUGUCUUCCAUAUUUGAUGUUGACCUUUGCUUGCGGUUCUGCAUGGGUGAUUGAUGUUCAGUUCGUGCAAAAGCAAACUGUGUAACUUAAGAGGAAGAAAGUGAAAAAAAAAGGAAAAAAAGCAAUAAGGCUUGUUUCAUAGAUUCUGGUCCUGUGGUAUGCUGCUAGUCUAAUUAAGUAAAUAUGGGUCUGGGAUUAUCAUUUUAAAUAGCAAGUGUGGAAGUAAUUCCUAAUCAAAAUAUUAAAACAUUGUAAACAUGUAAAUGUGCUUCCAUUGCAUAUGGCUCAAGUUUUCCCUGAUUCAAUAUCUCAAUUUUCUGGUGUUCCCUCUAACCAGGGUUGCUUACAAAAUGUAGUUUGAGAAGUCAAGAUUUGCCUACUUCUAAACUGUGCUUGCCAAUUUAAGAGUUUAUUUAAUUUGACAUGAACUCUGCAUCGUCACUAUCAUUAGGAUUUGCAUGACUUGAGUUCCAAGAAAGGAGUUGUUCUGGUUCUUCACGGAGCUUCUGGCUUGCCCAAGGAACUUGUAAAGGCCUGUAUAGAGCGGGGUGUGAGGAAGUUCAAUGUGAAUACUGAGGUACGCAAGGCGUACAUGGACUCACUGAGCAGCCCCAAGAAAGAUUUGGUCCAUGUUAUAGCUUCUGCAAAAGAAGCAAUGAAAGCUGUGGUUGCAGAAAAGAUGCAUUUGUUUGGUUCGGCAGGAAGAGCAUGAUUCUACUUCUGUUUGAUACUGUGAAGGGUCCUAACCAGCAAUGGUUUCUUUGGCAUUAUGGCAUUGCUGUUUAUAGAUCAAAUUAUUCCGUGUAUUGGAAACGACAUUGGGACUAGGGAAUGGGAAUACUCGAAACCUAAUUGGCUAAAUGUUCAAUUUCAUUUCUGUAUUCAUUAGAG